UCUUAUGUACAUUCCUAUAGCAUAAAUGCAAUGGAUCCCAUUAGAACUUUGUAUUUAAGCAUGCUUGGGAUAGAGUAGUAUUGGGAUGGGUGAUCGCUCAUAAAUUCCUUGUGUUUUACAU
rfam:Picea glauca, whole genome shotgun sequence.